rnacentral:rRNA from 1 species
GACGAACGCUGGCGGCGUGCUUAACACAUGCAAGUCGAACGGAAAGGCCCUGCUUUUGUGGGGUGCUCGAGUGGCGAACGGGUGAGUAACACGUGAGUAACCUGCCCUUGACUUUGGGAUAACUUCAGGAAACUGGGGCUAAUACCGGGUAGGAGCUCCUGCUGCAUGGUGGGGGUUGGAAAGUUUCGGCGGUUGGGGAUGGACUCGCGGCUUAUCAGCUUGUUGGGGGGGUAGUGGCUUACCAAGGCUUUGACGGGUAGCCGGCCUGAGAGGGUGACCGGCCACAUUGGGACUGAGAUACGGCCCAGACUCCUACGGGAGGCAGCAGUGGGGAAUAUUGCACAAUGGGCGGAAGCCUGAUGCAGCAACGCCGCGUGCGGGAUGACGGCCGUCGGGUUGUAAACCGCUUUCGCCUGUGACGAAGCGUGAGUGACGGUAAUGGGUAAAGAAGCACCGGCUAACUACGUG